rnacentral:lncRNA from 1 species
AUAAAAUGCGUGAAAAUACAUUUUUUUUUUAUCAAUUUUCAACUUCAUUUGAAUGUGUUUUGUUUUAAUCAUUCUUUAUAUAUUUUUUAUAUUUUAGUAGAUUUUUUUGUAUUUCUUUUUAUUUUUUUUAACACUUUUUUGUCCGCUUAAACCACUUCCAGGCCCAUGUUUGGUUAAACCACUUCCAGGCCCAUGUCCAAUUCUGUUCCAGUUCGAUUUUGCAAACACCACGACCAUGUCCGGUUCUGUUCCAGUUCGAUUUUGCAAACACCACUCAGUACACUGGGAAGUUUUUCAUUGAGUCUAUUCAAUUUGACAGCCAAACUAUUGGGUCUCUGCCUCCAACUAUUCAAGAUUUGAAUUGAAGUUCCUUUUUUUAGUGGUAACAACAUGAAAAUUUGAGCCUAUUUGGUUGAAAUAUUUUAUUUCUUAGGAUAUUUCUGUAAUUUUUAUGGGCUAUAUACAAGCUUUUUCAGCCUAUGUGAUCCGCCAAUUUUGAUUUUAUUGGUGAAUUAUUAACUCAACAUACUUGGAGUUCAAGCUGCCAAAUGGGUGUGUACCGUAGCGUUUACCAAGUCAUUCUCUUCAAUUUACAUUUAUCAAACAUAAUUUGGAUUUUUUGUACCUCAAGUUUUCAAAUUUUCCCCCCCCUGAUAGGUCUUG